rnacentral:pre_miRNA from 13 species
GGUGCAGCAGCUGGUGUUGUGAAUCAGGCCGUCACCAAUCAGAGAACGGCUACUUCACAACACCAGGGUUGUACCC